GAGUGGGCGGGACGGGGUGAGUAAUGUCUGGGGAAACUGCCCUGAUUGGAGGGGGAUAACUACUGGAAACGGUAGCUAAUACCGCAUAACGUCGCAAGACCAAAGAGGGGGACCUUCGGGCCUCUUGCCAUCGGAUGUGCCCAGAUGGGAUUAGCUAGUAGGUGGGGUAACGGCUCACCUAGGCGACGAUCCCUAGCUGGUCUGAGAGGAUGACCAGCCACACUGGAACUGAGACACGGUCCAGACUCCUACGGGAGGCAGCAGUGGGGAAUAUUGCACAAUGGGCGCAAGCCUGAUGCAGCCAUGCCGCGUGUAUGAAGAAGGCCUUCGGGUUGUAAAGUACUUUCAGCGGGGAGGAAGGCGAUAAGGUUAAUAACCUUGUCGAUUGACGUUACCCGCAGAAGAAGCACCGGCUAACUCCGUGCCAGCAGCCGCGGUAAUACGGAGGGUGCAAGCGUUAAUCGGAAUUACUGGGCGUAAAGCGCACGCAGGCGGUCUGUCAAGUCGGAUGUGAAAUCCCCGGGCUCAACCUGGGAACUGCAUUCGAAACUGGCAGGCUAGAGUCUUGUAGAGGGGGGGUAGAAUUCCAGGUGUAGCGGUGAAAUGC
rnacentral:rRNA from 1 species